GAUGAACGCUGGCGGCGUGCCUAAUACAUGCAAGUCGAGCGAACAGAUGAGGAGCUUGCUCCUCUGACGUUAGCGGCGGACGGGUGAGUAACACGUGGAUAACCUACCUAUAAGACUGGGAUAACUUCGGGAAACCGGAGCUAAUACCGGAUAAUAUAUUGAACCGCAUGGUUCAAUAGUGAAAGACGGUUUUGCUGUCACUUAUAAAUGGAUCCGCGCCGCAUUAGCUAGUUGGUAAGGUAACGGCUUACCAAGGCAACGAUGCGUAGCCGACCUGAGAGGGUGAUCGGCCACACUGGAACUGAGACACGGUCCAGACUCCUACGGGAGGCAGCAGUAGGGAAUCUUCCGCAAUGGGCGAAAGCUUGACGGAGCAACGCCGCGUGAGUGAUGAAGGUCUUCGGAUCGUAAAACUCUGUUAUUAGGGAAGAACAAAUGUGUAAGUAACUAUGCACGUCUUGACGGUACCUAAUCAGAAAGCCACGGCUAACUACGUG
rnacentral:rRNA from 1 species